rnacentral:tRNA from 1 species
GGUCCCAUCGUCUAGUGGUCUAGGACACUGCCCUCUCACGGCGGAAACACGGGUUCGAAACCCGUUGGGACUA